rnacentral:rRNA from 1 species
ACUUAAAUUGAAGAGUUUGAUCAUGGCUCAGAUUGAACGCUGGCGGCAGGCCUAACACAUGCAAGUCGAGCGGUAGCACAGAGAGCUUGCUCUCGGGUGACGAGCGGCGGACGGGUGAGUAAUGUCUGGGAAACUGCCUGAUGGAGGGGGAUAACUACUGGAAACGGUAGCUAAUACCGCAUAAUGUCGCAAGACCAAAGUGGGGGACCUUCGGGCCUCAUGCCAUCAGAUGUGCCCAGAUGGGAUUAGCUAGUAGGUGGGGUAAUGGCUCACCUAGGCGACGAUCCCUAGCUGGUCUGAGAGGAUGACCAG